rfam:Monodelphis domestica chromosome 8, whole genome shotgun sequence.
UUUGCAGAUACUCUGGACUGAUUGAACACUGUCUUGACUCUUCUAUAAUGACUACAGCAAGAGCAGAAUGGCUUCAGGGAACACAUUCAGCCAAACCCCCCCAAAAGGCUUCCCUGGGGUGAAACAAAUGCCUUUGAGAU